GGCCUCGUAGCUUAGUUGGUUAGAGCGACGGUGCGUGAUCUAAUCCGGUGGUCGUGGGUUCAAAAUCCCACCGGGGUCA